UUGGGUCACCCUUCAAGAACUUUAAUAAAUUCCAAUAUUGAGGAAGCAAAAAGAUUAACACAAUAGUACGACAAAACAGGAAAAAAACAAAAAGAUGAUAUUUACAUUCAAAUAAGCAGAGAACAAGAAGAAGGCUACAAUUUUGUUAAAUUUAAUAUGAUGUAUAAUAAAGCAAAAAACACUAUUAUAGACGUUAUUGCCAAAAUAGAACAAAUUAAGGACACCGAAAACAUAACAUCCGUACACGGUGAUCACUAUGAGAAAAAAGAAAUAAUUCUCAUAGAUGAAAACAACAGAAAAGUAUGAUACCACCACUUAU